rnacentral:lncRNA from 1 species
GGAGCGACGCGUUAAGACACUCGGGCGGUGAGAGGCGCCGCUGUACUUCCGCCACCGUGACCUUGUACUUCGAGGUGGAGCUGAGGAGCGACAGGCGACCCGGAACUGAACAGAAGACUUCGUUGGGGUUUACCACGCCACCGAAGAGGUUGUCCUUGUUAAUAGGGAUGGCGGAGACAGCAUUGCUGUUGGACUUGGACAGGGACACGGGGCCUGCGAAGACAGAUGCGGGCGCGUGUGGGGGGCGGACCGACCGAGCGCUGCUCAGCUCAGGAAUCCCGAGGCGGCAUCCUGCCCUGACCCUUGCAGCAAGCUGUCUAGAGAUGGCUGAUGCUGUCGCGACCCCCUAGGCUCUCAAAGGGCUCCGAAGUGAUGCAGGAGCUUGGGUUUAGGGAGGCAACGAAUGGGUUUUAUGUGUAAACCCGAGACAGGGUUGGUGUAGUGGGGGUUUUGCUGGCGAAAGGCUCAGUGCCAAAAGAAAUUGCUGUUAAAACCAGCAGACAGUUUCGAUUGCUGCAGCAGCCAGUAAAUGAACAUUUCAGUAAGCUAGCAAGUGGUGGAUUCUGUUAUCACACACUACACGUCCGUCCUUUCAUCAAUAGACCCUUAUGUUCCAUUUAAAAGACACUCGGGCUUUGGAGAUCAUUCCAAGCCCGUGAACAGGACUCAAGAAUAGGCCUACAGUUGAACAUUAGGAAUGCAUCCUUUUGUUGAGCAAAUACUAAAUGAACCCUGUCUGUCUAAGCCCCUUCAAAGGGAUGGGGGUUAGGAUAUAUAAUCAGUUAAAACCAUAAGCUCUUCAUUGUUGGAUCUACCAUUGUUAGAAAACAAAUUCAAGACCAUCAGAACAAGGGGUUCAUUUCUUAACACAUGAAAUUCAGAUGCACCUACAACCGUUUAAGUUCAAUGCGUUUGUAUCUUAAAAUUCCACACAGAGACAUAUAAUAAUAUGCACAGUCUCAUCAUAGCACCUCUCAUGUUUUUGUUUUGUUUUGCCUUUAAAUAGGGAUAUUCUACUUGUAUGGGGAGGUGAGGGCCUCUAGGUUUUGGAUAGAUCACUUGUGACAUUAAUAGCUCUGGGGAGGCUAAUAGAGACAAUAGGAGUUAAACGAACUCGGGAGAGAUUACUAAUAAAAGAGCCAAUUAUCAUGUCGACUUGGAAAGAGUACCUCUUAACAUUUAUCCCUUACACAUCUAAUUUGACAUGACAAAGAUUUCACAGAUGCAAAAAUGAAACUUUAAACUAGCUAACAAUAUACUGAUUCGGGGGUUAGAAAUGAGAACAGUUUUAUAUAGCAUCAUCCUCUGGUGGUGCCCAGAAUCCUGAAGUACCUGCCACCAUAACAACAAAAGUACUGCUGCUGCAUUUAAUACAAGAAACUUUAUUUCUACCCACUAAGCACAAUGCAGAUGAUAAACCCAUGCAAAUUAUGUAACAUCUUUCUUUUCUAUAUACAUAGGUCAACAGUGGGCAUCUUCAAGAUACUAAUUUUAACCAAAAGCUAAAUUUUUGCUAACCUAAUUCAAGUUUUAAAGCCUUGAAACUCAAUCAAGAGACUAGAAACUAAAUCAGAGAUCUCGAAAGUUGUCCUCCCCUGAUAGGGUGCAUUUUUUCAAUCUGACUUUUUAUUAAUAUUAAAUUAUUUGUAUUAUUUCAGCUUGAUACACUUUUGAACCCUCAUGGCCUUUAACUGCACACAAUUAAUUAACUAUGAGACUAUUUCCAAAUCGAAAUGCCACUUCCAAAUCAGGUCAACUAGUGCACAUUUCACUUUGUGCAAAUAUCAUUAAACUACAUUCAACGCUGAAAUCCCGAUUAGAACAAAGCUAGCCUGUUGCCAUUAUCAAGGUCCUGAAAGCUGGUGGUUUAAGCACUGUUCUUCUAUGCGUAUCUAUUUGCUAAUUCUGAGCCUUUAGGAAAUCCUAUUUGAAAAAAAGAAUAAAUACAGUCCUGUAUGUUCUUUUAAAUAGCACUCUGCCUGUAAGGACAUGCUUGGAAUGAAGAAGGAAAUGGCUUACCUUUCUUAAUUACAGUUUGAUCUGGGAUGUUAAUACCCGGGUCUUCUACGUGCUGCAACAAAAGGAUACACAUGAAUGUAAGCGUAUAAUCAAAACAAAAGGAAAUGAAUAUUCGCUGCAAGGUGGGGGAGGGGAGCUCUCCCUCCACCUCCCCCAUGACAUUUAUAUAUAAACAUCUUAUCUUGGCUUGCUGAAUUUGGAGCUUUAAAACUCAAGAGGUUUCACUGUAUACCCUCGGCCCAUUUCUCCUCCCCCUUCCCCCCCAGCAGAUAAUCCACGCUGAAGAGCUCCGGAUGGAGAAUAAAACUUUCUUUGAAAAUC